UUUGCAGAGUAAUGCACAUUGGAAUACAUGAUCCCAACUAUACAUAUAAAAUGUUGGGGUCUAAAUUAGCUGUUAUAACUCAAGAAAGAACUUGUAGUCAUUGUGGAUGGACAUCAUGAAAACAUUCACUCAA